AUCCAGCUGACGAGUUUCAAAUCGGACGAAACACACGUCCUAGAU
rnacentral:hammerhead_ribozyme from 1 species